GAUGAACGCUGGCGGCGUGCCUAAUACAUGCAAGUCGAGCGAACAGAUGAGGAGCUUGCUCCUCUGACUUUAUCGGCGGACGGGUGAGUAACACGUGUAUAACAUACCUAUCAGACUGGGGUAACUUCGGGAAACCGGAGCUAAUACCGGAUGAUAUAUUGAACCGCGUUGUGCCAUAGUUAAAUACGCUUUUGCUUUCAGUUAUAGAUUGACCCGCGCCGCAUUAGUUAGUUGUUAAAGUAGCGGAUUACCAUAGCAACGAUGCGUAGACGACCUGAGGGGGUGAUCGGACACACUGGAAGUGAGGAACGGUCCAGACUCCGGCGCGAGGCAACGGUAGAGAAUCUUACGCGAUGGACGAGAGCCUAACGUAGCAAAGCCGCGUGAGGGAUGAAGGUCUACGGAUCGUAGAACUAUGUUGUUAGGAGAGAAGAAAAGUGUUAUUAACUGUGAAGAUAUUGACGGUACCUAAUGAAAAAGCCACGGCUAACUACGUG
rnacentral:rRNA from 1 species